rnacentral:rRNA from 1 species
GAUGAACGCUGGCGGCGUGCCUAAUACAUGCAAGUCGAGCGAACGGACAAGAAGCUUGCUUCUCUGAUGUUAGCGGCGGACGGGUGAGUAACACGUGGAUAACCUACCUAUAAGACUGGGAUAACUUCGGGAAACCGUAGCUAAUACCGGAUAAUAUUUUGAACCGCAUGGUUCAAAAGUGAAAGACGGUCUUGCUGUCACUUAUAGAUGGAUCCGCGCUGCAUUAGCUAGUUGGUAAGGUAACGGCUUACCAAGGCAACGAUGCAUAGCCGACCUGAGAGGGUGAUCGGCCACACUGGAACUGAGACACGGUCCAGACUCCUACGGGAGGCAGCAGUAGGGAAUCUUCCGCAAUGGGCGAAAGCCUGACGGAGCAACGCCGCGUGAGUGAUGAAGGUCUUCGGAUCGUAAAACUCUGUUAUUAGGGAAGAACAUGUGUGUAAGUAACUGUGCACAUCUUGACGGUACCUAAUCAGAAAGCCACGGCUAACUACGUG